rnacentral:tRNA from 1 species
AUCCGCCAGGGAUAGCUCAACUGGUAGAGCCUUCGGCGCGUAACUAAAUGAUCCAAGUUCGAAUCCCGGUCUGGACU